GCCAUGCUGACGAGUCCCAAUAAGGACGAAACAGCUGUCCAUGGU
rnacentral:hammerhead_ribozyme from 2 species